AGUGAACGCUGGCGGUAGGCCUAACACAUUCAAGUCGAACGGCAGCACAGUAAGAGCUUGCUCUUACGGGUGGCGAGUGGCGGACGGGUGAGGAAUACAUCGGAAUCUACUUUUUCGUGGGGGAUAACGUAGGGAAACUUACGCUAAUACCGCAUACGACCUACGGGUGAAAGCAGGGGAUCUUCGGACCUUGCGCGAUUGAAUGAGCCGAUGUCGGAUUAGCUAGUUGGCGGGGUAAAGGCCCACCAAGGCGACGAUCCGUAGCUGGUCUGAGAGGAUGAUCAGCCACACUGGAACUGAGACACGGUCCAGACUCCUACGGGAGGCAGCAGUGGGGAAUAUUGGACAAUGGGCGCAAGCCUGAUCCAGCCAUACCGCGUGGGUGAAGAAGGCCUUCGGGUUGUAAAGCCCUUUUGUUGGGGAAGAAAAGCAGCAGGUUAAUACCCCGCUGUUCUGACGGUACCCAAAGAAUAAGCACCGGCUAACUUCGUG
rnacentral:rRNA from 1 species